rnacentral:tRNA from 2 species
AGUGUGGCUCAACGGUAGAGCAGCUGAUUUGUAAUCAGCAGGUUGUUGGUUCGAUUCCAAUCACU